rnacentral:rRNA from 1 species
CAGGCCUAACACAUGCAAGUCGAACGAUGCUUUCGGGCAUAGUGGCGCACGGGUGCGUAACGCGUGGGAAUCUGCCCUUGGGUUCGGAAUAACCGUUAGAAAUGACGGCUAAUACCGGAUGAUGACGUAAGUCCAAAGAUUUAUCGCCCGAGGAUGAGCCCGCGUAGGAUUAACUAGUUGGUAAGGUAACGGCUUACCAAGGCGACGAUGACUAGGGGAGCUGAGAGGCUGGUCCCCCACACGGGCACUGAGAUACGGGCCCGACUCCUACGGGAGGCAGCAGUAGGGAAUAUUGGGCAAUGGGCGAGAGCCUGACCCAGCCAUGCCGCGUGCAGGAAGAAGGCUUUCUGAGUCGUAAACUGCUUUUGAUAGGGAAGAAUAAGGUGUACGUGUACACCGAUGACGGUACCUACAGAAUAAGCACCGGCUAACUCCGUGCCAGCAGCCGCGGUAAU